rnacentral:rRNA from 1 species
UACGAAGGUCCCAAGCGUUGUUCGGAAUCACUGGGCGUAAAGGGAGCGUAGGCGGCCAACUAAGUCAGACGUGAAAUCCCUCGGCUUAACCGGGGAACUGCGUCUGAUACUGGAUGGCUUGAAUCCGGGAGAGGGAUGCGGAAUUCCAGGUGUAGCGGUGAAAUGCGUAGAUAUCUGGAGGAAUACCGGUGGCGAAGGCGGCAUCCUGGACCGGCAUUGACGCUGAGGAGCGAAAGCUAGGGGAGCAAACGGG